rnacentral:rRNA from 1 species
UCUUGGUCAUUUAGAGGAAGUAAAAGUCGUAACAAGGUUUCCGUAGGUGAACCUGCGGAAGGAUCAUUAUCGUAACAAACGGGGGCGCGCCAGCUCUGCUCCGGCUCAAUCGGCCGUGAGCGGGUGACCGCGUCUUCUGUCCACACAAACCCCUGUGCACCUUUCGGCGAAGGUGGGCGCGAGCCCGUCUGACCCGCAUCACAAACUCAGUAUUAAGAAUGUAACGCAGACUCAGUCUGUCUAAACAAAUAACAACUUUCAACAACGGAUCUCUUGGCUCUCGCAUCGAUGAAGAACGCAGCGAAAUGCGAUAAGUAAUGUGAAUUGCAGAAUUCAGUGAAUCAUCGAAUCUUUGAACGCACCUUGCGCUCCUUGGUAUUCCGAGGAGCAUGCCUGUUUGAGUGUCUUGAAAUCAUCAACCCCUUCGGUUUUGCGACUGAUGCGGGUUGGACUUGGGGGUUUGCUGCUGAAAGGCGGCUCCCCUUAAAUGUUUCGGUUGGGCCUGUAGGUCGACUUUGAUUGGGCGUUGUAUUAUCCUCGCUCCUGAAAGUCUCCUCUUUUGUGCCCUUCCACGACCUGCCUAUGGAGUGGCGGUCAAACUCUUCUGACAUCUGACCUCAAAUCAGGUAGGACUACCCGCUGAACUUAAGCAUAUCAAUAAGCGGAGG